rnacentral:rRNA from 1 species
UACGGAGGGUGCAAGCGUUAUCCGGAUUCACUGGGUUUAAAGGGUGCGUAGGCGGGCAGGUAAGUCAGUGGUGAAAUCCUGGAGCUUAACUCCAGAACUGCCAUUGAUACUAUCUGUCUUGAAUAUUGUGGAGGUAAGCGGAAUAUGUCAUGUAGCGGUGAAAUGCUUAGAUAUGACAUAGAACACCUAUUGCGAAGGCAGCUUACUACGCAUAUAUUGACGCUGAGGCACGAAAGCGUGGGGAUCAAAC